UGAUUGUGAUGGAAUUUGAAGGAAUUGAGUUGAAAAAUGUUUUACAUGAAGGACAGUUUGAGAAAACAGUAGAAGGGUAAAAAAAAUCAAUUGAGUUUGAAAACCGUUAAUAUGGUUUUGAAAGUAACAGUCACACAAAAAAGGCAAAGGUAAAGGAUCGGACAGCAAGACAAUUAGUUACCGAUGUAUAACACAUUAGGGAAGGGUUCAUGCUUCAAACUAGGAAUCCAGUUCUUAUAGUACCAGACACCAAACCAGAUCAUCCUCAAAAAGAGGUUUUAGGGCUAUGGAGUAGCCAAGAGGAUGCUAGUAGUAUACAGAAGCAAGGGGGGACAUGCAUUGGGGUAGGAAAGGGGGUAACGAACAUGCCAGGUCAAGCUAGGCCUACUAAUUAGCACAUAUACAUACUAG
rnacentral:lncRNA from 1 species